UUUGCCAGUUGGCUGGAGCCUAAGGCGGCAGAUGUUAGGGCAAUUAGAGAUUUUUAUAUUACAUAUUUGCGAAGUUAUAUUUCGACUGCGGUGCAGGAACGGACGAACCUUCCGAUAAAAAAUGCCUGGCAGAAAUGACAGUUAAUAAGAAGGGACGGCAAAAUUUAAAUUGCCUGCGGGCAAAAACUGUGUUAUUCCGCCACUGAGAUUUGCUAACCUGUCAUUCACUGUUAGCUUAACGACAUCCGAACCGCUCUCAUUUAACUAACUGGCGUUAAGUGUCAUCAAAUUGAAAAUCAAGUUAUCAAGAUCGCGUUUGCUGAAAUUAAGCAAUUUAUUUAAUAGAUUUAAUAGGUGUGAUUUUUUUUCUAGAAUAAAUAACAUUUAUUGCACAUAUUAUAAUAUAAAUGACAACUAUGAAAAAUCUUACCGAUUUAAGAUAAAAGCAAUAUCGUAUGUAUCGUUUCCAAUAUACACUUUAAUUUUCGAGUGAUAAAAACUGCAUAACUGAAGCUUUCGAUGUUUUGAUAUCGCGCGGGACACGAUCGUCGCGCUCGCGUUUCGGGAGGUGACUGUUUGGAAGCCACUCUGUCUGGACUUCCUUUGGUCCUGCGGCUGGGGGAGGCUGGAGGGGGGAUGAGCCGAUUGAUCUGCGAGAUCGACUUCCGCCGCUUCUGUCCUGAAUGAAACCGCCCACGGUGACCCUACGAGCGUAGUACGCGAGAGUUUGCGAAGGCGUUUGUUUGUUUUCGUAUCUUGUCGAACGUUUAUGCUUUAGCUAUUUAUUUGGUCUAAAAACGUGGUUGGUAUUCAAUAUGUGCUCUUAAUGAUAUCUAUAUGAAGUUUUAAAAACAUUUAACACACUUUUUUUUAUUUAUUUCGUACUUAAAAUUACACUAAAUGACAGAAUUGUCACUUGUUAACUCAAUUUGGGAGUAUUUGCGUAUAAAUUGUUACCUUUUUUUGGA